rnacentral:rRNA from 1 species
UACGUAGGGCGCAAGCGUUAUCCGGAAUUAUUGGGCGUAAAGAGCUCGUAGGUGGCCUGUCGCGUCGGCUGUGAAAACUCGGGGCUCAACUCCGAGCUUGCAGUCGAUACGGGCAGGCUAGAGUUCGGCAGGGGAGACUGGAAUUCCUGGUGUAGCGGUGAAAUGCGCAGAUAUCAGGACGAACACCGGUGGCGAAGGCGGGUCUCUGGGCCGAUACUGACACUGAGGAGCGAAAGCGUGGGGAGCGAACAGG